rnacentral:rRNA from 1 species
GACGAACGCUGGCGGCGUGCUUAACACAUGCAAGUCGAACGGUGAAGCUCCAGCUUGCUGGAGUGGAUCAGUGGCGAACGGGUGAGUAACACGUGAGCAACCUGCCCCUGACUCAGGAAUAAGCGCUGGAAACGGCGUCUAAUACUGGAUACGAGAAGGGUCCGCAUGGGCACUUUCUGGAAAGUUUUUCGGUUGGGGAUGGGCUCGCGGCCUAUCAGCUUGUUGGUGAGGUAAUGGCUCACCAAGGCGACGACGGGUAGCCGGCCUGAGAGGGCGACCGGCCACACUGGGACUGAGACACGGCCCAGACUCCUACGGGAGGCAGCAGUGGGGAAUAUUGCACAAUGGGCGAAAGCCUGAUGCAGCGACGCCGCGUGAGGGAUGACGGCCUUCGGGUUGUAAACCUCUUUCAGCAGGGAAGAAGCGAAAGUGACGGUACCUGCAGAAGAAGCACCGGCUAACUACGUG